UGUGCCAGCAGCCGCGGUAAUUCCAGCUCCAAUAGCGUAUAUUAAUGCUGCUGCUGUUAAAAAGCUCGUAGUUGGAUUAAGAGUUUCACGGUGCUGUGUGGCCCAUCGUAGUCAUAUCCCCAUCGGGUUAUGGUGAAAGUGCGGAUCAAACCCACAGCAUUAAGCCGUGUGCUCUAAUAGCCCGAAACGGUUGAUGGUGGACGGCUCCUUCAUUGGGGCUGAAAGCGAUUUCGCAUUUACCUUAUGCAUAAGUCACGUCGGGCGAUGUCACUGUGAACAAACCAGCGCGUUCAAAGCAGGCUUUUGCCAGAAUGUUCGAGCAUGGAAUGACAAGGGAUCGACCAAAAUGGUCCUUUUUGUUGGUUUCUGUACCAAAAAUGGGUAACUCUGUAUACAAAGACUGGACAAGAUCCCCAAUCUUCGGGUUGGGCCUUGACCAGCUUGUAUUCAAACGGGAUCAAUAGAGACAAUCGGGGUCGUAAGUACUCGGAUGUCAGAGGUGAAAUUCUUAGAUCAUCCGAAGACUAACUUCUGCGAAAGCAUUCGACAAGAAUGUCUUCAUUAAUCAAGAACGAGAGUGUGGGGAUCGAAGAUGAUUAGAUACCGUUGUAGUCCACGACUGUAAACAAUGCCACCUCAGGAUCGAUUGGCUUACAUUCUGUUCCAAACGGCACUAACCCCUGAAACGAGAAAUCAAAGGUUAUGGGUUCAGGGGGGAGUACAUUCGCAAGGCUGAAACUUAAAGGAAUUGACGGAAUGACACCACCAGGCGUGGAGUAUGCGGCUUAAUUUGACUCAACACGGGAAAUUUUACUAGGUCAGGACAAUGUAAGGAUUGACAGGUUGAGAGCCCUUUCUAGAUCCAUUGUGUGGUGGUGCAUGGCCGCUCCUGGUUGGUGAAGUGAUUUGUCUGGUUGAUUCCGUUAACGAACGAGAUCUUGACCAAUAAAUAGGCCGCAGUGUCGACGUAGUUCUUAGCACUUCUUCGGAAGCUCGCUGAGGACAAGACAGCUGCGUCCAGCUUCUUAUUGGGACUGUGUGCGUCUUUAGCACGCGGAAGUGCAAGCCAAUAGCAGGUCUGUGAUGCCCAAG
rnacentral:rRNA from 1 species